UCAGGAUCUGAGCAGUCACGAAAGGAACCUCCACUCUCAUACUCAUUUGCUGCUUCAUUUGUGUUUUUACAGUACUGAUAAACAAAGGUGAGAAACAAAUAUAUUUGAGAGUUAAUUUCACGCCACAUAAAUAAAUAACACAUUGUGUGCGUACAGUUAAAGCUUUUGUGAUUUCAGUGUGUCUGCAGGUCACAGUAAAGGGUAUUAUUGGUGAUUCUGUUGUUCUGCCGUGUUCAACUAAACAUGAUCUUAAACUUCAGGACAUUAAUGUGCACUGGAGACAAAAUGGCAGCAAAAUUGUGUAUGAUAUAGUUGAAGGUAAAGAUUCAAUAGCAGAACAGAAUCAACGGUACAAGAACAGAGCUGAAACUUUCCCUGAAGAGUAUGAGGGAGGAAACUUCUCUCUCAAAAUCACCAGUCUCACUCACGCUGAUGCAGGAAAAUACAACUGCCUCAUCACACCCUCAGAUGAACAGAAGACUGUAGAGCUGAUCAUCAAAGAAAACGAGAGAGAAAAAACUGACAAUGAGUGGUUGUCAUUGUACUGGGUUUACAUUGCUGUACUGUUAAUAGUGCUAUUAAUAGCCUGUUUCAUCACAUAUCUCUGCUGCAGAAAAAAAAGAUAAAAUCAAUUUCAAAUCAAAUCAUGACUGAAGGACCAAUAACAAUGAUAGCAAUGACAAACUUUCUCUCACCUUUCUGACUAUCAGCUCAUUGUUUUUGUCUGGUUCAGAAGCACAGUAGAAUGAGAUCUUGAACAUCAGUAUGUUGCUGCCGCAACAGUUCUGUACCACAAGUGUCCCAUGUUGUGUUUGCUAGAAUCAAAUCUAUUCGAUUGUCUUUGAGUGUUAUUUCAUGUUUAUGUUCAAAUUAAAGCUGCACAUCAUU